rnacentral:rRNA from 1 species
AUGGAACGAGUGGCGGACGGGUGAGUAACACGUGGGUAACCUGCCCUUAAGUGGGGGAUAACAUUUGGAAACAGAUGCUAAUACCGCAUAGAUCCAAGAACCGCAKGGUUCUUGGCUGAAAGAUGGCGUAAGCUAUCGCUUUUGGAUGGACCCGCGGCGUAUUAGCUAGUUGGUGAGGUAAUGGCUCACCAAGGCGAUGAUACGUAGCCDAACUGAGAGGUUGAUCGGMCACAUUGGGACUGAGACACGGCCCAAACUCCUACGGGAGGCAGCAGUAGGGAAUCUUCCACAAUGGACGCAAGUCUGAUGGAGCAACGCCGCGUGAGUGAAGAAGGCUUUCGGGUCGUAAAACUCUGUUGUUGGAGAAGAAUGGUCGGCAGAGUAACUGUUGUCGGCGUGACGGUAUCCAACCAGAAAGCCACGGCUAACUACGUGCCAGCAGCCGCGGUAAUACGUAGGUGGCAAGCGUUAUCCGGAUUUAUUGGGCGUAAAGCGAGCGCAGGCGGUUUUUUAAGUCUGAUGUGAAAGCCCUCGGCUUAACCGAGGAAGCGCAUCGGAAACUGGGAAACUUGAGUGCAGAAGAGGACAGUGGAACUCCAUGUGUAGCGGUGAAAUGCGUAGAUAUAUGGAAGAACACCAGUGGCGAAGGCGGCUGUCUGGUCUGUAACUGACGCUGAGGCUCGAAAGCAUGGGUAGCGAACAGGAUUAGAUACCCUGGUAGUCCAUGCCGUAAACGAUGAAUGCUAGGUGUUGGAGGGUUUCCGCCCUUCAGUGCCGCAGCUAACGCAUUAAGCAUUCCGCCUGGGGAGUACGACCGCAAGGUUGAAACUCAAAGGAAUUGACGGGGGCCCGCACAAGCGGUGGAGCAUGUGGUUUAAUUCGAAGCAACGCGAAGAACCUUACCAGGUCUUGACAUCUUUUGAUCACCUGAGAGAUCAGGUUUCCCCUUCGGGGGCAAAAUGACAGGUGGUGCAUGGUUGUCGUCAGCUCGUGUCGUGAGAUGUUGGGUUAAGUCCCGCAACGAGCGCAACCCUUAUGACUAGUUGCCAGCAUUUAGUUGGGCACUCUAGUAAGACUGCC